rnacentral:rRNA from 1 species
UACGGAAGGCAGCAGUGGGGAAUAUUGCACAAUGGGCGCAAGCCUGAUGCAGCCGUGCCGCGUGUAUGAAGAAGGCCUUCGGGUUGUAAAGUACUUUCAGUCGUGAGGAAGGUGUUAAGGUUAAUAACCUUAGCAAUUGACGUUAGCGACAGAAGAAGCACCGGCUAACUCCGUGCCAGCAGCCGCGGUAAUACGGAGGGUGCGAGCGUUAAUCGGAAUUACUGGGCGUAAAGGGCACGCAGGCGGUUAAUUAAGUUGGAUGUGAAAUCCCCGGGCUUAACCUGGGAAUGGCAUUCAAGACUGGUUAGCUAGAGUCUUGUAGAGGGGGUAGAAUUCCAUGUGUAGCGGUGAAAUGCGUAGAGAUGUGGAGGAUACCGGUGGCGAAGGCGGCCCCUGGACAAAGAUUGACGCUCAUGUGCGAAAGCGUGGGGAGCAAACAGGGAUUAGAUACC